rnacentral:rRNA from 1 species
GACGAACGCUGGCGGCGUGCCUAAUACAUGCAAGUUGAGCGCUGAAGGUUGGUACUUGUACCAACUGGAUGAGCAGCGAACGGGUGAGUAACGCGUGGGGAAUCUGCCUUUGAGCGGGGGACAACAUUUGGAAACGAAUGCUAAUACCGCAUAAAAACUUUAAACACAAGUUUUAAGUUUGAAAGAUGCAAUUGCAUCACUCAAAGAUGAUCCCGCGUUGUAUUAGCUAGUUGGUGAGGUAAAGGCUCACCAAGGCGAUGAUACAUAGCCGACCUGAGAGGGUGAUCGGCCAAAUUGGGACUGAGACACGGCCCAAACUCCUACGGGAGGCAGCAGUAGGGAAUCUUCGGCAAUGGACGAAAGUCUGACCGAGCAACGCCGCGUGAGUGAAGAAGGUUUUCGGAUCGUAAAACUCUGUUGGUAGAGAAGAACGUUGGUGAGAGUGGAAAGCUCAUCAAGUAACGGUAACUACCCAGAAAGGGACGGCUAACUACGUG